UGCCCUGUCCAGAGGCAGAACUGCCAAUGAGCUCUGGAGAUUAACCCUCCGCCUCCCAGAAGGGCCCGGGCAAGAGAGGAAGCAAAGCCUCAUGUUACAGGCUCAAUCGCAGUGUUCCCGGAGAGGGGUGCCCUACAGCUGGAAGUCAGGAAGCAAGUCAGCUCCAAAAGAUGCCCAGUGGUGAAUGGAGAUUCUGGGACCCCAUGAACAGAAAAAAGGCCUUCCCAGGAUUCCCUCCCAGGAGAUCAUGUGGUGCGGCAGCCACCCAGGGGCACAGGCUAGAAACCCAACCC